rnacentral:rRNA from 1 species
UACGGGGGGAGCAAGCGUUGUUCGGAUUUACUGGGCGUAAAGGGCGCGUAGGCGGUCAGCACAAGUCAGUUGUGAAAUCUCCGAGCUUAACUCGGAAAGGUCAACUGAUACUGUGCGACUAGAGUGCGGAAGGGGCAACUGGAAUUCUUGGUGUAGCGGUGAAAUGCGUAGAUAUCGGAAGGAACACCAGUGGCGAAAGCGGCUUCCUGGUCCAGCACCGACGUUCAGGCACGAAAGCGUGGGGAGCAAACAGG